rnacentral:lncRNA from 1 species
AGGCAAUGGAAGGAGGCAACCACCGUGGGCGGUGAUGGCGAUGGUAUCAGCUACAGUUGUCUAAUGUUAGUGUUGUGGGUGGGUUUGUUAACUCUUUCUAUAGUUUCAGCCAUAAUAUUUUCUUGCGCACAAGGCAUGUCUAAAGAGAAUAAGUCUGCAGAAGUUGAUGAAACCCUUUACGGUGGCGGAUGCGGUGCUGGAUGUGGAGCAGCCUGCGGUGGUUGAUUAGUUUCACAGAAAUAAGGAACUUCCCAUUUUGUGUUAUGUGAUUCUUGCUUGGAAUAUUAAUAGAGCCAUCAGUUUUGAGAAGCUAAGGCAAAGGUGUUGCCCUAACCAAAUCGUUGAAGAGAAUUUUCAACUCUUCGUUUGUAUUUUUCCUUGAGUUUGAUUCUUGUAACUCUGCAAUUUUCUUCCUUCCCUAACAAAUAGAGAGAAAAAAAUAAUGUUAAUUAAAUUUAUUCCGAUAAUUUGUUUAUAUGAUUUUUAAUUUCCUUAUUAAAGAAGCUGAUAGCUAAUGCGAUUAUUAAUAUGUGAAUCACA